UCCGGCCCGGGGGAAUGGAGCGGGGCCUGGCAGAGAACCCGGACCGGGCCCCGGCACGGUCCCGCCGCGAUGCGACUGAGGCGCGACCGGCGACAGGAGAGAGGGCUGGGGGGAAGAGCGGUUCCUUCCCGCGCGGCUCCGCCUCCCCCCGCCAUCUCCCGCCCCUCAGGGAGCCGGGCGGGAGGAAAGUACCGCAUCCAGCUCUAGGGCACCAACAUAAUGACAUGGAGCUGUUGGAGCAGGGCCAGAGGAGGCCAUGGAGAUGCUGGAAGUAAUUCUUUUUAUCAAGAAAAGGUUAUCCUUCAGUUCUGGGAUGCAUAAUGUGUUGUCUGUCACACGAAAGUAAUGUUGCAAACAAGCUAGCAAGCACCCAAGCUGAAUAAGAUUGGUGUCUGCAAGAAUCUAAGAGGAGCCAGCAGCCAUAGCUAGAGAUUGGUGCAGCUCUAUUCAACAUCAAGCCUUGCAGAAGACCUCUCUUAAGCAGG